GGGCCCGCACAAGCGGUGGAGCAUGUGGUUUAAUUCGAUGCAACGCGAAAAACCUUACCAGGCCUUGACAUCCAGAGAACUUACCAGAGAUGGUUCGGUGCCUUCGGGAACUCUGUGACAGGUGUUGCAUGGCUGUCGUCAGCUCGUGUCGUGAGAUGUUGGGUUAAGUCCCGUAACGAGCGCAACCCUUAUCCUUACUUGCCAGCACGUAAAGGUGGGAACUUUAAGGAGACUGCCGGUGACAAACCGGAGGAAGGAGAGGAUGAUGUCAAGUCAUCAUGGCCCUUACGGCCUGGGCUACACACGUGCUACAAUGGAAAGUACAAAGGGUCGCAAUGCCGCGAGGUGGAGCAAAUCCCAAAAAACUUUUCGUAGUCCGGAUUGGAGUCUGCAACUCGACUCCAUG
rnacentral:rRNA from 1 species